rnacentral:rRNA from 1 species
GACGAACGCUGGCGGCGUGCUUAACACAUGCAAGUCGAACGGUGAAGCGCCUUCCUUUUUGGUGGGUGUGGAUGAGUGGCGAACGGGUGAGUAACACGUGAGUAACCUGCCCCCUUCUUCUGGAUAACCGCAUGAAAGUGUGGCUAAUACGGGAUAUUCUGGGUCUGUCGCAUGAUGGGUCUGGGAUAGAUAUUGUGUCGGUGGGGGAUGGUCUCGCGUCCUAUCAGCGUGUUGGUGGGGUGAUGGCCUACCAAGGCGGUGGCGGGUAGCCGGCCUGAGAGGGUGGACGGUCACACAGGGACUGCGACACGGCCGAGACUCCUAAGGGGGGCAGCAGUGAGGAAUAUUGCACAAUGGGCGCAAGCCUGAUGCAGCGACGCCGCGUGAGGGAUGGCGGCCUUCGGGUUGUGAACCUCUUUCGCCAGUGAAGCAGGCCUGCCUCGUUUGUGGGUGGGUUGACGGUAGCUGGAUAAGAAGCGCCGGCUAACUACGUG